UACGUAGGGUGCGAGCGUUAAUCGGAAUUACUGGGCGUAAAGCGCGCGCAGGCGGGUUGGUAAGUCCGCUGUGAAAGCCCGGAGCUUAACUCCGGAGGGUCGGUGGAUACUGCCAGUCUUGAAGGUGCUAGGGGGAGAUGGAAUUACCGGUGUAGCGGUGAAAUGCGUAGAUAUCUGGAGGAACACCGGUGGCGAAGGCGGCAUCCUGGACCGGUAUUGACGCUGAGGCGCGAAAGCUAGGGGAGCAAACGGGG
rnacentral:rRNA from 1 species